AGCAGCCGCGGUAAUUCCAGCUCCAAUAGCGUAUAUUAAAGUUGCUGCAGUUAAAAAGCUCGUAGUUGAAUUUCGGGACUAAUAUGUCGGUCGUGCCUCGGUACGUACUGGUAUUUUUGGUUUCUCCCUUCUGACGAACCUUGAUGUCAUUAAUUUGGUGUCUUGGGAAAUCAGGACUGUUACUUUGAAAAAAUUAGAGUGUUUAAAGCAGGCUCACGCUUGAAUACAUUAGCAUGGAAUAAUGAAAUAGGACGUUUGAUUCUAUUUUGUUGGUUUCUAGGAUCGACGUAAUGAUUAAUAGGGAUAGUUGGGGGCAUUAGUAUUCAAUUGUCAGAGGUGAAAUUCUUGGAUUUAUUGAAGACUAACUACUGCGAAAGCAUUUGCCAAGGAUGUUUUCAUUAAUCAAGAACGAAAGUUAGGGGAUCGAAGACGAUCAGAUACCGUCGUGGUCUUAACCAUAAACUAUGCCGACUAGGGAUCGGAUGAUGUUAAUUUUUAAUGACUCAUUCGGCGCCUUACG
rnacentral:rRNA from 1 species